GGUAGUUCAUUCUAGCAUUCCGCACUGAAUCUAAUUGACAAUAUAUUUAUUUUUACACGUUUAAGGCUACAAUAGCGUAAGCUCACAUUUGUUUAUCUUAUAACAUCAGUAGAUUCCUUUGUGAUACAUUGGUAAGUUUGCUCUACUCGGUUCUAUCACCAAGCAAUCACUCGGAAAUCUAAAGGUGUUGUAACAGGAAAACAAACAAGCUUUGCUCCUAUAUUCACAGUUAUAAAGAUCAUACUAAUAACAUUCGAUAUACUAUCAAAUUCACUGACACUUAUCAAGCCUUUUUGAAGUUAUGACAUCUAUAGAACCAACAUAAACAAAUAGUUACAAAAUUGUAGAUAUCGGAAACACUUGAAGAGCGGUUACCAGUUCUUAUAAUAGCCUAAUGUUAAUGUGCAAAGAAAUAUUUUUUUACCUGAUUCAAAAAUAUGAAAAGUACCAUUUUCAUGCUAAUGGAAUGAAAAAAAAAGUUAAACAUAACAUUUGCGGUUAUCUAAUAUUUAUAUUUACACUUUGAUACAUAGGUAGUAUUUCUAAACGCCCACACAUUCAUGAAAUUGCUACAGCACAAGCGUAAACCACUGGAAUAGAGUUUUGAUUGACAGCAUAGAUCAUUUUAGAUAAUGCUUGCGAGAAUUUGCACAUCUCACAAACAGACUUAAUCAAACCGAGUUUGCUAUUUUUACGUCCUUGAGUUCUAUGCUUCCAAAGGAAACUUUAGAUCUGUCAACAGUCAGUACAGUCAAAAUAUGUUUGCUAGAGCUCGACGGGACAAGCAAAAUGUGUUCGAAAUAUCAGUAGUACAAGCAAACGUGAAAUAUACAUUAUAGUCCUGAUGCUGAGUUCGAGCCAAAAGUAGUAAUUGGAUAAUCCGAAUUCGAGCAAACGAAGUUUGACUGUACUAGUCUUUAUAAAAUACGCGCCAUAGAUUUUUUUCUACCUGUACUGUUCAUACAGACAAUCAAACAGGUAACCAACCAGCCUUUAUGGAAAUUGUUAGCCUGAAAACGGAAGUUUUAGAAACGGGAGAAAGAUAACUUCCAUAAAUGAACAAAAUAUCAGAACCUAAGAAAAGUUAAGCCUAUUCUAUAGAAAUAACCUUAGUCGUUUUGAAUUUUGCCAGUCUCAAAUGCAAUAAAUCUAUUAGAAGUAAUUUAUUUUACUUCUCAAAUUCAUAAUUAUCUCCAAAAAUAUACAAGUUUGUAUUAGAAUGCAGCAAAAAUGGCGAAAAUCUGAAGUUUAUAAUAAAGAUGCACUUAUUGACCUUUGACCUUGUGCUGUGACCUUACUAUGACCCUUAGAAGGCGACAGCCCCCCUGAAAAGUUUCCAAUUUUUAUAAAGUUAACAAUGAAUAUGGCUGUCGGGCAUUAACAAAAAAUGCCAUCAAAGGCAAUUUCUAGGCCUCUUUUUUGGAUAUAUAGGCAGACUAUAACUUUUAUUUCAUUAGUUUAAACUUAAUAAACUUAUUUAAGAAGUUAGUGGAAGUUUAGUUUUAACUGUGACAAUAUAAAACGUUAGUUUAAUAAUAUACUAAAUGAUAUGGGAUUAUCUUCCUAUAAACGGUUGGUGUUUGGGUGCUGCGUUGGAAAUUGGAAUUCUGUGAUGCGGAUUUGGUGUUGUGAUGCCCAGUUGGAAAUUGGAAUUCUGUGAUUGUUGUAAAGACACGAAUAUGAUACUACUAGAAAGCGGACAUUUGAGGGGGUUCCUAGCAGAGAAAGCAAGAAAACGAAAUUAGUACAAGAUUAUGUCAAAAUUGAUGAUACUACAAGAAAGCGGACAUAUGAGGGGGUGCAUAGCCGAGAAAGUAAGAAAACGAAAUUAGAUGUUAAUGCAAGGAAACGAAAGCCUGAGUGGAUAUAUGAUAUUAGCAACAAACUAAUCAAAUUAAGUUUAGGUGGCACCAAAAUUGUGCCUGAGGAGUACAAUCCUCCAAUACAAGAAACAGAUUUGGGAGCGGCUAAAGAAGAAGAGAAGGAUGCAGAUGCAACAGUUCAACUUCAGCCAGAGAGUGUUUGCUAUGUAGUUUGACAUUUCGAAGCGAUAGUUGAACCAGUUUGGCAUACAUUCAUUUUAAUAUUCCCCUGUUUAUAAAUUAUACCAUAUAAAUUUUGAUACUUAUUGACUAGAAAACAGGUUAUAAACAAUUACUUUGUCUUCGACCAUUAAGACACAAAGUCGAUGAGUGUUAUGCAAUGUCUCGUAACUGACUGGUCAUUCUUCUUGUCACAAGAAGAUCUUAAUAAACUAUCCAUUAUA